AUUGAACGCUGGCGGCAGGCCUAUCACAUGCAAGUCGAACGAGUGGCGGACGGGUGAGUAAUGCCUGGGAAACUGCCCGAUGGAGGGGGAUAAUUACUGGAAACGGUAGCUAAUACCGCAUACCAUCGGAUGUGCCCAGAUGGGAUUAGCUAGUAGGUGGGGUAACGGCUCACCUAGGCGACGACCCCUACCUGGUCUGUGAGGAUGACCAGCCACCCUGAAACUGAAACACGGUCCAGGCACCUGCGGGAGGCAGAAGUGGGGAAUAUUGCACAAUGGGAGCAAGCCUAAUGCAGCCAUGCAGCGUGUAUGAAGAAGGCCUUCGGGUUGUAAAGUACUUUCAGCGAGGAGGCAUUACUCGCAGAAGAAGCACCGGCUAACUCCGUGCCAGCAGCCGCGGUAAUUC
rnacentral:rRNA from 1 species